CAUUGCUGUCGUAGGUCUCCAUGGCUUGCACUUGGAAGUCCCGCGCCGGCAUCCCUGAGGACGGCUUGCAGCAUAUCCUCAAGAUGUCGCCGGUGCACUGCGCUCCCGGCCACUGCACUCAGAAGAACAUCAAACGUCAGAAGCGAGUGAGACCAUAUAGCAAAUAAGCUGGAAGCUAAGAGCAGCGUUGACACAACAGAUCAGUAGAGGAAACUUAGACAUAGCAUACCACAAGGGUCAAGGCCAUGAAGUCUGCGGACUUAGAGGAGACCAGAGAAGAGAGACACAAGCACAGUCCAAGCAAGAAGAGCAGCCUGAAAGCAGCCAUUGCAAGAGAACCAAGACGGGAGGGUGGGUACCCGGUGUGGAAGCUCGCCGGAGUUGGUGACGAUGAGCUGAGACUUGAAGAGAACUGAUGCGUCUUUAUAGAACAGCGAGCCUGGGAACCGUAGUGAGCACGUUUUUUACGUGGACGCCUCUGUCACUCGCUGAGAGAGAGAGAGAGAGAGAGAGAGAUAAUUAUGCACAUUAUAUCUACGGCAGAAAAGAUGUGGAACACGAUGCACAUUAAUGCAGUAGAUCACGUGAUAAUAAACAUUUGCACUUA